UUCCCUACGGGGGGCAGCAGUGAGGAAUAUUGGUCAAUGGGCGGAAGCCUGAACCAGCCAAGUCGCGUGAGGGAUUAAGGCCCUAUGGGUCGUAAACCUCUUUUGUCAGGGAGCAAUGGCGUCCACGUGUGGGCGUAUGGAGAGUACCUGAAGAAAAAGCAUCGGCUAACUCCGUGCCAGCAGCCGCGGUAAUACGGAGGAUGCGAGCGUUAUCCGGAUUUAUUGGGUUUAAAGGGUGCGUAGGCGGGCUGUUAAGUCAGCGGUCAAAUGUCGGGGCUCAACCCCGGCCUGCCGUUGAAACUGGG
rnacentral:rRNA from 1 species